rnacentral:rRNA from 1 species
AACGUAGGUUCCGAGCGUUAUCCGGAUUUACUGGGCGUAAAGCGCGUUCAGGCGGUUUGACAAGUCGGGCAUGAAAUCUCUCGGCUCAACCGGGAGAGGUUGUCCGAUACUUUCAGACUUGAGGGCAGUAGAGGGUGGUGGAAUUCCGGGUGUAGUGGUGAAAUGCGUAGAUAUCGUGAGGAACACCAGAGGCGAAGGCGGCUACCUGGACAAUUGCUGACACUCAGGCACGAAAGCGUGGGGAGCAAAAGGG